UCGCAAUACACACCCUCCUCCUCACUCAACACACACGAAGAAAUCAGAAAGCUAAGGGGGAGAACGGGAAGAAGAAGAGAGGAGAGGGAAGGAAGAACGACGGCGGCUAACUGGCUAGGGAUCUGCCGUCGUCGUCGUCGAAUGCCAGUGAGAGAGAGAGAGAGCUCGAGGAAGAGAAAACGCAAUGGAGGAGUGAAGAAAGGAGUGCUCCGUCGCCGCUGAAGCUCCACCGCCGCUGCUAGGGCUUGUUGCCGUCGCCGUUCUGCCACCGCCAGGCUGAUGUACCACCGCCGAGGAUCUCGAAUGGGAUGUCUCACCGCCGUUGUGCUCUGUCGCCGCGCUACCAUCGACUGGAGCUCAUCGCUGAGUUGCUGUACCGUCUCCAAGCCGUUACGUAGCCGCUCAUCUCUUCUUCACCGUCGCCGCUCAUCACCAUGGUCGUAUCCUCUGUCACCAGGUAAUGGAAGAUCUCUGUGAGCGCUAUUUUGACCCUAAUUAUUUGAACUUCUUUCACAUGAUAAGGUAAGAUAUAGAAAAACUUUAAGGGACGAUGAACAAAGAUUUUAACAGGGUCGCUAUUCUAUAGCAUCUGCAGUUCUGCUCUUAAAGGUGAUAGCCGUAGCAGUAGCAAUUGGUGUUGAAAUACAUGCAAUUUUUCAUCUUUUUUGUGACUUCCUUCGCCUCCUUCGUGCAAGCCCUCAAAAGUACAAUCCACACCUUGGUUCAGGAGAAAUAGGAUUAAGCUUCCUAAACCACUCAACAGUCUAACUGGCUUCAAUGCAUUUUGGUACUCACAUCAUCUCUUUGUCAUUGUCUAUGCCUCGUUGAUUGUUCAUGGAAUCAAACUUUUCUUUACCAAAGAGUGGUAUGAGAAAACGGUU